AUUGAACGCUGGCGGCAUGCUUUACACACGCAAGUCGAACUGCAGCGCGGGCUUCGGCCUGGCGGCGAGUGGCGAACGGGUGAGUAAUACAUCGGAACGUGCCCAGUAGUGGGGGAUAGCUCGGCGAAAGCCGGAUUAAUACCGCAUACGACCUGAGGGUGAAAGCGGGGGAUCUUCGGACCUCGCGCUAUUGGAGCGGCCGAUGGCAGAUUAGCUAGUUGGUGGGGUAAAGGCCUACCAAGGCGACGAUCUGUAGCUGGUCUGAGAGGACGACCAGCCACACUGGGACUGAGACACGGCCCAGACUCCUACGGGAGGCAGCAGUGGGGAAUUUUGGACAAUGGGCGAAAGCCUGAUCCAGCAAUGCCGCGUGUGUGAUGAAGGCCUUCGGGUUGUAAAGCACUUUUGGCGGGAACGAAAAGGACUGUGCCAAUACCACGGUUCGAUGACGGUACCCGCAGAAUAAGCACCGGCUAACUACGUG
rnacentral:rRNA from 1 species